GGCUGUGUAGCUCAGUGGCAGAGUGCAUGCCUAGUAAGUGUGAGGCACUGGGUUCAAUCCUCAGCACCACUA
rnacentral:tRNA from 1 species